GGCGGCGUGGAUAAGACAUGCAAGUCGAACGAGAGAAUUGCUAGCUUGCUAAUAAUUCUCUAGUGGCGCACGGGUGAGUAACACGUGAGUAACCUGCCCCCGAGAGCGGGAUAGCCCUGGGAAACUGGGAUUAAUACCGCAUAGUAUCGAAAGAUUAAAGCAGCAAUGCGCUUGGGGAUGGGCUCGCGGCCUAUUAGUUAGUUGGUGAGGUAACGGCUCACCAAGGCGAUGACGGGUAGCCGGUCUGAGAGGAUGUCCGGCCACACUGGAACUGAGACACGGUCCAGACACCUACGGGUGGCAGCAGUCGAGAAUCAUUCACAAUGGGGGAAACCCUGAUGGUGCGACGCCGCGUGGGGGAAUGAAGGUCUUCGGAUUGUAAACCCCUGUCAUGUGGGAGCAAAUUAAAAAGAUAGUACCACAAGAGGAAGAGGCGGCUAACUCUGUGCCAGCAGCCGCGGUAAUACAGAGGUCUCAAGCGUUGUUCGGAAUCACUGGGCGUAAAGCGUGCGUAGGCUGUUUCGUAAGUCGUGUGUGAAAGGCGCGGGCUCAACCCGCGGACGGCACAUGAUACUGCGAGACUAGAGUAAUGGAGGGGAAACCGGAAUUCUCGGUGUAGCAGUGAAAUGCGUAGAUAUCGAGAGGAACACUCGUGGCGAAGGCGGGUUCCUGGACAUUAACUGACGCUGAGGCACGAAGGCCAGGGGAGCGAAAGGGAUUAGAUACCCCUGUAGUCCUGGCAGUAAACGGUGCACGCUUGGUGUGCGGGGAAUCGACCCCCUGCGUGCCGGAGCUAACGCGUUAAGCGUGCCGCCUGGGGAGUACGGUCGCAAGAUUAAAACUCAAAGAAAUUGACGGGGACCCGCACAAGCGGUGGAGUAUGUGGCUUAAUUCGAUGCAACGCGAAGAACCUUACCUGGGCUUGACAUGUAAUGAACAACAUGUGAAAGCAUGCGACUCUUCGGAGGCGUUACACAGGUGCUGCAUGGCCGUCGUCAGCUCGUGUCGUGAGAUGUUUGGUUAAGUCCAGCAACGAGCGCAACCCCUGUUGCCAGUUACCAGCACGUGAAGGUGGGGACUCUGGCGAGACUGCCCAGAUCAACUGGGAGGAAGGUGGGGACGACGUCAGGUCAGUAUGGCCCUUAUGCCCAGGGCUGCACACGUACUACAAUGCCCAGUACAGAGGGGGCCGAAGCCGCGAGGCGGAGGAAAUCCUGAAAACUGGGCCCAGUUCGGACUGUAGGCUGCAACCCGCCUACACGAAGCCGGAAUCGCUAGUAAUGGCGCAUCAGCUACGGCGCCGUGAAUACGUUCCCGGGUCUUGUACACACCGCCCGUCACAUCAUGGAAGCCGGUCGCACCCGAAGUAUCUGAAGCCAACCGCAAGGAGGCAGGGUCCUAAGGUGAGACUGGUAACUGGGAUGAAG
rnacentral:rRNA from 1 species